GGCUCCGUAGCUCAGUUGGAUCAGAGCGCUCGGCUACGAACCGAGAGGCCGCAGGUUCAAGUCCUGCCGGAGCCG
rnacentral:tRNA from 1 species